UACAGAGGUCCCAAGCGUUGUUCGGAUUCAUUGGGCGUAAAGGGUGCGUAGGUGGCGCUGUAAGUCGGGUGUGAAAUUUCGGAGCUUAACUCCGAAACUGCAUUCGAUACUGCGGUGCUCGAGGACUGGAGAGGAGACUGGAAUUCAUGGUGCAGCAGUGAAAUGCGUAGAGAUCAUGAGGAAGACCAGUGGCGAAGGCGGGUCUCUGGACAGUUCCUGACACUGAGGCACGAAGGCCAGGGGAGCAAACGGG
rnacentral:rRNA from 1 species